UACGUAGGGUGCGAGCGUUAAUCGGAAUUACUGGGCGUAAAGCGUGCGCAGGCGGUUUUGUAAGCCAGAUGUGAAAUCCCCGGGCUCAACCUGGGAAUGGCAUUUGGGACUGCAAGGCUGGAGUACGGCAGAGGAGACUGGAAUUCCUGGUGUAGCAGUGAAAUGCGUAGAGAUCAGGAGGAACACCGGUGGCGAAGGCGGGUCUCUGGGCCGAUACUGACGCUGAGGAGCGAAAGCGUGGGGAGCGAACAGG
rnacentral:rRNA from 1 species